rnacentral:rRNA from 1 species
ACGUAGGCAGCAAGCGUUGUCCGGAAUUACUGGGUGUAAAGGGCGUGUAGGCGGGGAUGUAAGUCAGAUGUGAAAUUCCACGGCUUAACUGUGGCGCUGCAUCUGAAACUAUAUCUCUUGAGUGCUGGAGAGGAAAGCGGAAUUCCUAGUGUAGCGGUGAAAUGCGUAGAUAUUAGGAGGAACACCAGUGGCGAAGGCGAGUCUCUGGGAUGAUACUGACGCUGAGGCGCGAAAGCUAGGGGAGCAAACG